rnacentral:tRNA from 1 species
GUGCUGCUAGCUCAAUGGUAAAGCCCCUCAAUGUCACUGAGGAAGAUGUCAGUUCGAUUCUGAUGCAGCUCG